UAUCAUAUGACAUACAGUUUGGUCUUUGGUUGGUGGUCGCAUGUCAUCCUAUGUUUAUCUGGAGGGUCCACUGUCUAGUUCUGUUCUGGUCCAGGGAUGGAUAGAUGGAAGGGUAGUUUAGUCCACACAUAGCAUUGUUGGAGACGAGGUUAGGUGGGAGGCGCGCCUGUUAAUCUGUAAUGUCUGAAGGAGGGAGGAGGAUUAGGUGGCUAGGCUCCUGGUCUUUGUCAUCUGUUCCUUAGGAAUAGUAAAUUGUCGAUUUUGCCCUUUACUAAAAUUUUCUUUAUGUUCCCUUUUUGCUCCUCUCUCUUUGGAUGCUAACUCUCCCCACUGUUUCGUUUCCACAGAACGAUCGUCCGCUUCGAACCAGCUUGGUUGGGCUGGUUGGGGGGCAGCCAUGGGAUGCACGGCUUCGGUCUUCGGGAUUCGUUGGGGGCCGUCAAUUUCCAUUUGGGCUGGCGCCUUGCGAAUCUUGCCGUUCGUUUGGUCUUCAUCUCAUCUCAAAAAAAAUAAAGGUUAACAAGCCCUGGAGGAAUACACUUCCAACAAGGCAAAUUUGUGUGUGUGUGUGUGUGUGUGAGAGAGAGAGGCAUACCAGUCAUGAUAAAUACCAAACGAGACCUCUCUCAUAAAUAACACCUAAAGUGUUCUUUGCAAUUGUAGGCACAACAUUCAUAACCCAAGAUUUUCGUGAUUCAAGGGCUGCUGCAAAUCCUCCAAGGCAUGCAUUCAUAUCCAUGACAUUCCGACAUCUGGUAGUGCCAAUCAAGUUGUUGAUUCUUUUAUAAGUAUUUACAUGCUUUUUCCAUUAGCUAUUCGAGGAGGGACUGCAUAAAGCUUUGCAGGAAACUUCAACGCCCCCACUGCUACUUCAUUUGCAUUGGUUACCUCAGGAGAGGGGGCUACGCAUGUGUCCAUUUUCUUGUACCUGAAACAUACCACAUCAAACUAAGAAUUAUGAUUGCUGUAACAAUCUAACUCUAGAACUGGAAUACAUCCUUUCAAAAAUGCCCUUAUCAGAAUUGAAUAGGACAUGCAUGUAUGGAGAAAACAAGAAGAAAAAAGGACGGCCAAAUGAACUUGAGCAAGUGAGAUAGAAAUAGACUGAAACUUCAUCACUGAUCUAAGUGAACCCACCUUGUAUAAUUGCAACAUUUGUAGGAAAUGAAGCCAAUCUUUGCAAUUACUAGAAUCAUAGGAUGACAAAGGAGGAAAAAUAACAUAAAAGCAAAGUAGAAAAGAGAAAGUUCUAAUAAAUGGAAUCUAAAGUUAUACAAUCAUUCUGCUUAUAUCAAUGCAUUUUAGGUAAUUCUGAACUAGGGGACCAACUCAAACAAUGAAAACCUGUCCAACUUCUACUGUCCAGAGAUUUAUAUCUUCUAAGACUCCAUAGCAUUGACUAACAUAAAAUUCAUAAGCACAACAUUUUCUUCUAAUCAAAGUGUGUGCAAGAACACAAUGGGAGGUAGGGGCUUUAUUACCUAGUGUUCCCAAAUAAAACAGAAUUAUUGUCUAGAACAACAUAAUAACUACAGAAGGACAGGGCACAAGAAAAUUCCAGUCUACAAAUAUGAAGUAACGAGUGAUGCAAGAGGUACAAAGAUAUUAACUGAAAACUUUUCACAAACUGGAGGCAUGCAACCAGCACAUCACGUUUACAGAGGGGUGGGAAUGUGGAAUAUGUGCAACAUGCCAAUUCGACUACCAUGUCUGUCUGUAAAACCUAUGUUAUGUUUAACAAUUUCCUAGAUAAGUGGACUGAUUUGCUGGUUGAAACCAUAGUCAGUAACCAAUUCACUACAUUUUUUCUCUUUGAUUACUUCUUGUCUUGAGAAAUAUUGGCAGGGAAAUCCAGCAACAGCUACUUCAUAUUAUAUAAUUUGAGGUAUUCAAAAAGGGUUUCCUUGCAUUAUCCUGUGACCUGUCACCUGCUGCAAAGUCCUGCGCCUCUUUCCCCUAACUGAGUAUGUCUCACUUCCCGAAAAAUCUACCAAACCUCAAGUUAGAGGCAGGGAGACUUUAUCCAGAACCAUGAGAUUAUCUUUAAACAUGAUUAGUGAAUAUUUAAGAACAAUAAACAAGGCUCCUCAGCACAGUUCCUGGAACUCACCAGACAUCAUCAGCAUCCUCUGCCUGGCAUACAUUGACAGACUUGCUUUUGCAGGAUUUUGUAUUAACUUUUUUCUUCCAAAUAGCCAUAUCUCCUUUCUCAUACUUUUUCUCCCAGCAAAGACUUUCAGCUAGUGCUUCAAUCUGUCUUUGCUCUGUCUGGACAUCCUCCUUAGACUACUUCCACGUUUUGUAGCAUGUCUUCCAAUUAAUUGGAGGUCCAGACAAGAUCCAACAUCCACCAGGUCUAAGCACCCAAUCAACUUCUUUUAGGUACAUCCCAUCUACACACAGCCGUUCAAUAUGUGAAUCAUUUAACUUCCAGCACUUAAAGAGAUAUUCAGUAAAUAAGCUAUUCUUGAAUGUCGAAACAUAGAAAACAAAGUUAAAAGAUGGAACUACAAUCAGAAGCCCUCUUUUAUAUCGAAGUCAACAGAUGAGGAUGGAUUGAGGAAGUCAAUAUCAACCAAAAGAAAACUUGGGAAAAUAAAAUUCUAGCACGGUCGGUAACUAAAUUAAUUGCCGGAUAUGUAAGACUUGCAGACAAUUUAUCACCCUUGUAAGACUUAUUUACACUUUUUGGCAUAAAAUCUCAUAGAAAACAUGAAGUUACAUAGAAAAAUAGUCUUCAAAAUGAAAGUGUGCAAAUCAGUAAUCACUUAUACCAAUGGAAAUCAAGUAUAAAUGUUUACCAAACGACUCUAAGCUUAUUUCAGUGGUCAACCUUGAGAGUCGAGGCAAGAUUGUGACAAUUAAUUUGACCAUAUGAUCUGAGUAUGGAAAUAGAUAUAGAUAUGUUUUUCUACUAUCUGUAUUCAACUUAAGAGUUCACUAAUUCAACUCUAAUUAUAUAUAUAUAUAUAUAUAUAUAUAUAUAUAUAUAAUACAGAAACUAAGGAAAUCAAAUGUGAUUGCUCCAUGCUGGUUACAUCAAGAUCUUACCAUUUGCAGUCCAUGGAAUUAAACACCGCGAUAUCAAAGGCCCUAGAUGGGUAUGGGAGACGAAUUGAUCCAAGCACACCGAUAACGGCAGGUACACCUCGCUCCAAUGCAAACUGUAAUUGUGCUUCAUGAUUAUCCCGUGGUGUAAAGGACAUGGCUAAUACAUUUCUCUUUAGCAAGUAUGCACCCCAACUUGCAACCUGUAUCAUGGUUGGUCUCAUUAGUAAAGAACCACAUAUGAACAAAAGAACUGUGUGUGAACAUGUAUCCUAGGAUAGCUCACUGCUCACAUACAUACAUGAUUUAGCUACAUAUAUAUAACACAGUAUCAUUGAAUGUGCAUUUGCAUUCACUAUACGCACAAGCAAAUCUACCUAACAUUCUCUGGAGACUGAAAAGCCAUUGUUGUACUCAUAGUCUUGGAUUGACUAAAGGAAGUUAAGUCGCUCAAAUUAAAUGCAGAUGACAGAAUGGCAAUGUGAAGCAAUGAAUGUACACAUGCAAAUGCAAAAAUAAAAGCACAAGCGUAGUUAAGAAAACCAACAUACACCACAACCAGUAUCCAAUGCUGUCCUGACAGAGCCAUCUGAAAUCGGAAUAACUGAUGCAAGUUCGUCAAUAUUUGCACCAGUGCCUUGGGGGAACAUUGUUCCUCCACCUGGAAAUUUGAAAACAUUUCCCUGAAACUGCACCCAGUUCUGAACAGCUUUCUCAACUGUCAGGCUUUUAUAAGGGACGUUGGCAUAGUGGACAUAGUCACGGCCUUUAGGCCAGGGGAAAAGAGUCAUAUAUCCUUUCCUUUCUGGAAUAAGACAAUGCAAUUUUUCCUCUUCUGGUGGACAAUGCCUUUCCCUGUAUAUCAGAGGGUUCAACUAUCUCCUCAAUAUUGUGAAGUGUUUCAAAGAUCAAAUUAGUAAAGACAUUGCUGCAAUCUGUCUGCUUGGUUACUGGAAAUGCUAUGCUAUCUCCUUUUCCAAAACCACUCUUUUGCCAUGCUCCAAGAAGGUAGAAGAAACAACACAGAGCAAUAACAACGAAUAUGGAUAUCGUGCUUCUUGUUCUGUUUCCGGAAGAAUUAUGCUUAGAUUUCAUGAUAUUGUUGCAAUUAACUCCCUCAACUCUGCACGAAUAAUAGAAAACUUAGAGUCGAUUAUUUGAAGUAAAUGGUCAAUAGUUGAGAACCGAUAGAAUAAGUAUGCUUAAAGAAAAAAAAAAUCAUUAGCACGUUGCAGUCUGUUAUAAAUAAAUAACAUAUCUCAAUAACUUGAUUAAUUGUUCCAAAGUGUGGUUAAUUUCUCCUAGCCAAAUUUGCAGUCUGAUAUACAUCAGAUUUUUAAUCAGCUCGACUUUUGGUAAAUAACCUACCUACAGAGGAUUUUGCACUCAUUCUACUUUCAACCAAUGUUGAAAAUACAAAUUCGCCCUCCAUUUGGAUGAGGGAAAAUAACUUAGAAUUUAGCUAAAAGUCGGGAAUUUAAGAGGAGAAAUUGACAAUUCCCUGUUUGGCAACUUAAGUGCGGAAUUUAUUAAAUGACGUGCGGAAAAAAAUGUCGAAAUUGGGGCAUCAAAUUCCCAAGUUUAAUUUCCACCAAAAUAGGUGUCACUUCACAAUUUCCAUAGUGUCAUUUACAAAAUUCUGUCAUUCACAAAAUUCGACAUACAUAAAUCCAAACACUGAAAUCUUCAAUUGCCAGAAAUUAAAAUUAUAGAAAUCUAAAGUCCGUCAUUUUAUAAUUCUAUGUCAUUUUCAAUUCCUUCAUCCAAACAGAGGGAUCAUCAGAUCAGUACCGAGAAGUAACUAAUUGACACAAAAUUUCGAGGAAGGUAAUAAAAUAAAUCCAGAUGGCAUCACCGUUUCAAGAUUGAGACAUGAGAAACAUGACGGAUUCUGGAUACGGUAAGUUUCUAGAGGCUAUGAACUACGCAUACAUUUAUGGUUAAGGACUUUAAGAAAUAAGCAGCAACUAGAUUUGUUGAAGAGAGAGUGAGUUUGCAAUCACAGAGGAUUAAAUGAACUAAUGAAGGAGUGGAUUAAAUUAAACUUAGAGACUUUCUGAUAUAUCCAUUGUCAUUGCUAUUCCAAAAUAUGGGAUUGGAUUAAAUUAAGGAUUAACAUCACCCGUAGGCAAACGUUACAUUUUUACUAAUCUGUAGCUCUUUUCAUUUUUUUUCUCAGUUGGAUGCAACUUAGAAAGUUAUCAAUCAUCCAUUGCCUUAAAUCAAGCUGCCCGCUUGGAUCCUAAAAUGUUCAAUCCCUUGAUCUGAAGCCAAGAUGUACAAACAAUGAAAUUUAUAACUAAAUCUUAAACCUUUUAAGCCAAAAACAAAAACAAGAUCACAAUCUUUUUUCACACAGCCCAUAAAAGGAAAAGCAAGUGCAAGCACAGAUCUUGUGCUAUUAUACAGUGGGAAGAAAACAAAAAACCAAAAAAAUGACAUUAAAAUGAAGCAAAGAAGAACAAUGCAUAAAGAGAAAAUAGUAAGAGGUGAAAACCGGGAUCAAAUAGCUAACCUGAAAAUGGGAGAGAAUGGUGUGAAAGCUUUAGAGAGAUAAGCCCUCCAGUGGGUAUAUGGUAUUUGAAGUUCUCUCUCCCUCCACUCCCCCCACAGUGCUAGUGACUAGUGAGAGAAUCUGCGAAGCAGAGAGAGAGAGAGAGAGAGAGAGAGAGAGAGUGUUUGAAAUCACAGUGAAUGAGUGAGUGAGUGGGAGAGAAUUUAUGUAGAGCAGAUAGAGGUAUAUAGGAAGAGAGAGAGGCGGUGGAGGCAAUGUAGAAAUUUGAUGACUUUGGUCUUCAACUCUGCUUUGGAAACUCACUUGGUUGAAUUUGAGUUAUCCGCCGACAGAGCAAUUAUGCGCUACUCUCUGGAGCAUGCAAUGAGCUGUAGCCCUUCCGAGGACAAUUCAAAUCCCAAAAUGAAACUACAUAAAAGAGGUAUCUAUAUAAAUUACCAUGCGACUUGUAGUCAGGGUGGAACCAAAAACUUUCGUACGGGUGAGGUAUAAAUGUUUCUUUUUCGGUUUAAGUAGAUGCAAGGGUUGGAAUGAAGUGAGCUAAUUUUCACUAAAUAUACUAAAUUUUCUAAAAGUAACACUAAUGUUUACUAAUCUGUUAGGAGGAAUUGAAUUGAGGAGGUGUUGGAUUGAAGAGAAUUAGAUUCCGGAUUCUAAAUUUAUGCCAACAGAGUCAAAACCUCUGCAGAGAAGGAGAAAGAAUUUAAGUCACCUGCACAGCAGAGCCAAUAAGACUUAGAUCCCCUUCCAAUAGACAUCAAAGUAGAGGAAUCCCUUUCCACCACCCAAUACCAUAUAUAUAAACACCUGUUCAAACUCUUUUGAACAAUGAACAUCUGAAAACUGCUCAUAUUUUGAUGUUUUAUAGCUGCUUAAUUUAUUAAAAUAUGCCCAAUAUUUUUAAAUAACAAGCAGCACAUAAAACAUGUUAGUUUAUUUUUUGUAAUUUAAGCUUGCUAAACUAAGCAUGAUUCUACUAUUUAGAUCUCCAUGGUUUUAUAAAUGGUAUUAUCUUCCUUGCAUAUUUUCAGGAUUUUAUACAAAUUUCUUUACAAUUUCAAAACUCGCAGCAUUGCACAGGCACCAUUGCUAGUUAUAAUGCUAAAAUCAAAGUGUCUUUAAUUUCUCCAUUGGUUCAAUAACAAAAAGAGUUGAACAUGAAUAGGGUACAACAAAACUUAUAAUUUGGCAUACUUCUUUACAGCAUCACCGGCAUCUUUUGCAUGCUCUGGCACAGGCAUGUUGCAUAAAAGAGUAACUCUGGAUGAUGAUACUAUGGAUUUGAUGUCUGAGUUUGAAGGAUUAAUCUUCCACAGUCUCACCUCCCAAACCUGCCCAAAAUUGGCAAAUCAAAACAACUUUGAAUGAUAUAAUCUGUUUAUUGAAUAUAUUAAGUAAAUGAAAUGAUAAAUAGAUGAAAGAUUAAAAUAUAAAAAACCAAUGUGGAGGGCAUUGGCAUUCACAUUUCCCCAGUAUGAAAUGGUGGCGGGAUAGUCUGGAUGCUGCCAACAUGAUUAUUAUAUUUCCAGUAGGAAAUUGUCUGUAAAUGGAGUGAUGGAAAGAAUGAGAUGGAAAAUUUUGACCCUAUAUGGAUAAUGUUGUAGAGAAGGUAAAACCGUAUACAAUUUCUAAAUGUCAUUUGUUUCUUGGACACCUACACUACAACUAUUGUUGUAUUAGCAGUUGUAAUUACUGUUAAUUGGAAGUGAUACUUGAUGAUGAAGUGAUGUAGGAUAUGGGUGAAUUGAGAAUUUAGGUAGUUUAGCGGAAGCAAAAACAGUGAAAAACAGAAAAUAGAACAAAAGGGAUAGGUCUGGAAUCUCUCCAAGAAUUUGGCUCCACACCAAGUAGUCUUCACUGGAAAAUAAACUUUACUCAAUAUUCAAAUCUCAACUCCCAUAAUGAAUUACAGAAGGGGUAUUUAUCAUAGUAAACUUAUUUUAGGAAAGAAAUCCUAAUCCAAAUAAAAUAGCAAACUUAGAAAUCCUACUCAAAUCUAAAAAAACUAAAAAUCAUGAAUCUAGAAAACUUAGAGAACCUACGAACUAACAAAUAAAUUAGGAAACUAAUUAAUAAUUCCCUCUUCCAUCUCUUUCGUUUGUAAACCCGAAUGGUUGACAAAGAUGUCCUCAUCAUGAAGACUGGAGAGGACUAGAAGCCUGGGAGAUGGAUUAUAAUUAAGAAGACAAGGAGGAUAGGAAUGCGACGGUGAAGAGCAGAGGAACCUGAAUGGUUUUGCCAAGAUUGACAGGCGUGGCUUCAGCGAAGAUACGGUCACCAAGCUCAGCACGCUUCAAAUGGUUGAUGCUGAGGUGAAUCCCAGCCACCCUUUGAAAACCAGAGGCCAGGUGGGCUCCUAUGCUAGCCAGAGACUCAGCUAUGAGAGCUGAUACCCCUCCAUGCAACACCUUGAAAGGCUGGUCUCAGCAGCAAAGAACAGUUAGUCAUAUUACUUAUUUCAUUAACAUCUUCUUUUACACUUUCAGCAGGAAAAAGAUUUAUCAUAUGAACAAACAAACAAAGAUAGAAAGAAAGAAAGAAGAUGAUGACCUGACAGCACUUUUGGGUGACAUGGAGGUGACCGGAGACCUUUUUUGGGGUUACCUCUUCAAUCUCGAACCCAAUUUCAUGAAGGGGAACAUCCAAAGCCUCCGUCUUUGACCGCGGUGAUGGUGGUGGUGGUGCUGAUGAUGGCUUGGAUUGGGACCGGGAAGCCAUAUCUAUAUCAAUAUAAAUAUAUAUAUAUCAGUGUUUAUGUUGUUAUAAUUGUGGUAUAUAUCUAUGCUCUUAGUUUCCUUCUCUGGCCUUUGGUGGUUUCCUCUGUUGUAUAGAUGAUAGAACCAACGCAAUUCAAUUCCCGUUCAUUGUUGGCUGUUGUUUGUUUGGCUUUUCCUGGAUGAGAGUGGGUGGGAAGACUUAUUGCAUUGGAGAUGAUGAAUAUCAUAUGACAUACAGUUUGGUCUUUGGUUGGUGGUGGCCUGUCAUCCUUUGUUCAUCUGUUCUGGUCCAGAGAUGGAUAGAUGGAAGGGUAGUUUAGUCCACACAUAGCAUUGUUGGAGACGAGGUUAGGUGGGAGGAGCGCCUGUUAAUCUGUGAUGUCUAAAGGAGGGAGGAGGAUUAGGUGGCUAGGCU
rnacentral:lncRNA from 1 species